AGUGAACGCUGGCGGCAGGCCUAAUACAUGCAAGUCGAACGGCAGCACAGCAGAGCUUGCUCUGCGGGUGGCGAGUGGCGGACGGGUGAGGAAUACAUGGGAAUCUGCCCAGUCGUGGGGGAUAACGUAGGGAAACUUACGCUAAUACCGCAUGCGCCCUUCGGGGGAAAGCCGGGGACCGUAAGGCCUGGCGCGAUUGGAUGAGCCCAUGUCGGAUUAGCUAGUUGGCGGGGUAAUGGCCCACCAAGGCGACGAUCCGUAGCUGGUCUGGGAGGAUGAUAAGCCACACUUGAACUGAGAGACGGUCCAGACUCCUACGUGAGGCAGCAGUAGGGAAUAUUGGACAAUGGGCGCAAGCCUGAUCCAGCCAUGCCGCGUGAGAGAAGAAGGCCCUCGGGUUGUAAAGCUCUUUUGUCCGGAAAGAAAAGUCUUGGGUUAAUACCCCGGGAUUCUGACGGUACCGGAAGAAUAAGCACCGGCUAACUUCGUGCCAGCAGCCGCCGUAACAC
rnacentral:rRNA from 1 species